UUAGCAGGUCUGAUUGAAAUUGCAAUUGUUCCAUCUCCUUUAAACAUGUUUUUAAGCAGAAAUCGAAGAGUUAUGGAUAUAUUAGUUUUGUGCUGGGUGCGUCUGACACCCAGAAGGAAGCGUAUUCGACCGCAUUAAGUAUGUUUGACGCCUAGUUCACAGAGACUUUAGAAGAGUUCGUCUCCUAGCGUACUGGAGUGAGAUAGAAAAACAGCUGACUUGGUGUGAGAAGUGAAAAAGAAAGAGAUAGAGAUAGAUGUGGAUGUAGCGGGAUAAGAAACCGUACUGGAAAAAUGGUAAAAAUAAAAAAUUCAAAAAUAAAUCGUCGCCAAAAUGCACUUGCUUGUAUAUUUCAACCAACCAAUCAAAAUGGAUGCAACCGUCGGCCGCUUCGGCAUUCGAGGCGUGGUUCUAGGCGCAUGGUUCUUUGCUUCCAAGCCGAUGGACCACAAAUGGGCUAUACUUGAUAGAGCUUGGAUGCACUAAAAUUAGGUCCGUGCCCAAAGUCAUAUCGUUAAAAUCACUUAUAUUUUGGUUAAUGCUGUUGUAGGGGCUUAACGGGCUGCGACUUUCCGAAUGCCUGCUUCCCGGCUUUUGGUUUCUUGGCGUUCGGUUUGAAUUCUAAUCGGAAUUCAAUUUCAUUAUUCCUUUUUAUUUAUAUUUAUUACUUCUUAUAACGUUAGGCAACAAAAUCAAACUUUGAUUUACGCUUCAGCCAAAUCAACUUUUCCUAAUAGAUUUGGGGCUGUAAAAAUUUAUAAUGAUCUAUGGUUUUUUCAUUAUUUUUAACUUUAUCAAAAUGUUUUUUCAAAGGAAGAUUCACAUAAUUUAAGUAUCUUUCAUCUGGUUGCUUUAAACUAUGCAAUUCUAA
rnacentral:sRNA from 1 species